GUCUUUAUCUCUCUCUACAUACGCGGCUCUUUCUCCUCUCAGACGUGUAACAUCAACAUCCUCUUGCUUUUGGUGCUUUGAGUUGUUUUGUUACCUUGCAAACACCUGUGUUUCACAGAGACCAACAAUAUAUUUUUGGGGUUAAACAUUAUCUCUUCAGGUUUUCAUGGGGAUUAGCAAUAUAUUUUGGGGGUUAAACAUUAUCUCUUCAGGUUAGAUUACUUCGAUGCCCUUGUUUCUGGCAAAUCUGAUGUUUACUUUUAAGGUUAUAUUGGACAGUUUAUAGAAGUGUUUAGCUAUGAUAGUUGAAUAAAUUCUGGAUUACGCUCUGUUCUGCUUGGGUUUUCUGUCGAUGUUUCUCGCUUCGCUUCUCCACUGUUCAGCUUUUCGUCUCUGUGCUCGUUUCCUGACAGAGAGAACAUAUGAAGUAUAGACUAACCAUUGAUAAGAUCACUCCACAAACAAAAGAGUAGACCUCAAAGGUACAUCUCAUUGAGAAAACUCGGCCAAGGAAAAGUAAAGAUGGAAAGACCCAAUUCCAGAUCGUUGUUGUCCAAAACGAAAAUGAAGACAAAGUAGCUGCUGUUUUGUACGGAGAAGACAUAGAAAAGGAUGCACACAAGCUAACUCCGUUUUCCACUUACUUGAUAUCUACUGC